CCCCCACGUAAACUACUGCAUCCAGUAUUGCCUGUAAAAACCUCUCAGGGGAAACUACUAUUUGUGCUGUGUCGCACCUGUGCUGAGGCACAGUAUCAGGGUCAGUGUGAGCACAGUGAUGACGAAAGAGUCAUUUCAGGAGUUUGGACCUCUGUCGAGCUCUCCAGAGCUAUUGAUAAAGGUUAUUCGGUAGUCAGAAUUGAGGAAGUCUGGCAGUUUCCACAGACAUCAGACACUUUAUUCAGCGGCUAUGUUAAGACGUUUCUCAAAUUCAAACAAGAGGCUUCAGGUUUUCCAUCACACAUAGUGACAGAUGCUGAAAAGGAGUUUUACGUCAGAGAUUAUUUUGAGAAGGAGGGAGUUCAGCUCGACCUUGACAAAAUAGCACUUAACCCUGCACGCAGAUCUAUAAAUAAAUAUUUAUUGAAUUCACUUUGGGGUAAAUUUGGUCUUAGGUGUAAUCAAGCUACAGCGGAGCUUUUAACAGACCCCGAAGAAUUUGCCCGCUAUAUCUUUGGAAACGGACGCAUCAUUAAACACUUCUCAUUCGUGUUGGACACUGUGGCUUUAGUUCAAUGGUGCUAUGCCGAUGAAGACCCCGCCCCCGCGAGUGAUGUUAAUGUGUUCAUCGCAGCAUUUACCACCGCUUACGGGCGUUUGGAGUUAUAUGAGCUCAUGGAUCAGUUAGGACCCCGUGUUUUUUACGUAGAUACAGACAGCGUUAUCUUUGUAUUGAAAGAUGGAGAUUGGGUACCUAAAACAGGUGCAUAUCUUGGUGAGUUGACGGAUGAACUUGAUGAUGGAGAUUUCAUAAGGACUUUUGCGUCAAUGGGUCUGAAAACAUAUGCGUUUAAAACCACAAAAAAUAAAGUAACUCUUAAAGUUAAAUGGAUCACGCUGCAUUCUGCUAAUGCAAAAAUUGUAACUCUAGAAAGCAUGAUAUGUCUGAUACAGGGAUAUGUAACACGUGACACUGCCCACCUGCUCACGCGCACAGAGACCAUUGUGCGGAAUAAAAAGAAGUUCACUCUGCAUAAUAGAGCAGUUUUGAAAAGAUUCAAAGUGGUAUAUGACAAACGCGUGAUACUUCCUGAUUAUAUCACACUUCCUUAAGGCUACUAAUGGUAUA
rnacentral:lncRNA from 1 species